rnacentral:rRNA from 1 species
GAUGAACGCUAGCUACAGGCUUAACACAUGCAAGUCGAGGGGUAACGAGAGGAAAGCUUGCUUUCCUUGUCGACGACCGGCGCACGGGUGAGUAACGCGUAUCCAACCUGCCCCCAACUAAGGAAUAACCUUGCGAAAGUAAGACUAAUACCUUAUAAUUUCCUCAGAUGACAUCUGACGAGGAAUAAAGAUUUAUCGGUUGUGGAUGGGGAUGCGUCUGAUUAGCUUGUUGGCGGGGUAACGGCCCACCAAGGCAACGAUCAGUAGGGGUUCUGGGAGGAAGGUCCCCCACAUUGGAACUGAGACACGGUGCAAACUCCUACGUGAGGCAGCAGUGAGGAGUAUUGGUCAAUGGGCGGAAGCCUGAACCAGCCAAGUAGCGUGCAGGAUGACGGCCCUAUGGGUUGUAAACUGCUUUUAUACAGGAAUAAAGUUAGCCACGUGUGGUUAUUUGUAGGUACUGUAUGAAUAAGGACCGGCUAAUUCCGUGCCAGCAGCCGCCGUAA